UCUGAUAUGGCAGAAAUAGUGCAUUAAAUUUAAGAUUUAAAAAUAAGAAAUUAUCUUUAUUAGAA
rnacentral:tRNA from 1 species